GUCAACCAAAUCACCGCCUUUGUUAAGAUCAGUCCCCACCUCAAAAAGCAACGCCUCAGAAAUCCCCAAUCUUUUCUCCUAAAACAGAUCCCAAACCAAUUGCAUUCUAUCCAUCCCUAAAUCUCUCUGUUUCCUCGCACACCCUACAAUUUCCUCUUUUUCCCGCCCGUUAAAACCCUAAAAGAAACCUCUUUAAUUUAAAUAAAAACCCUAGAUUCAUCGAAAUUGCACCACAGAUCCCUAAUUUUAUAACAAAUUUCUACAUUGAUUCAUAUAUUUUGUUUCCGUACAGUUAUGGUUGAGAAUCAAAAUGGAAGACAGUAAAUUGAUGUUUGAUAAUUGCAGAGAAAGUGAGAGCUCCAGUAAUAGCAAGCCGCCGAACCCUCUUGCUGGUGGGCACCACCGUUUAGUGGCUUCUGCCACCAAGAGGUCCCUUGUUCGACACCCCUCUUUGUUUUGAGUGGAGAUUUACCAGGUGAGAACCAAGUUAUCAGAUGUUUCUCUUGAACCAAGAGCAGAUACAGGUGAUCAUGCAACAGAGUACAUUCCGUUACUUCGCUCAGGUGCUUGGGCGGACAUUGGAUCUCGGUCAAGCAUGGAAGACGUGUAUGUGUGCGCCGACAAUUUUAUGAACCACUAUCGAUCAACUAGUUCUAAUGAAGGGAAUCAUGCCUUCUAUGGGGUAAUAAUUUUCUCUGCUCUUGCUUCACAAUUUCUGAGGAGUGAUUAAUUUAACUCCCCAUAUUUGGGAAUAAAUUAUGUUCUAAUUAUUCAGCAUUUAGCUGUUUACCGGUAAAAAAAUAGUAUUCUGCAUUUGACAGGAAAGGCAAUGCCUGUCUCUGCAGUUUCCCUGGUUCAUUGAGCAUUCUGCUAAUUUUUUGUUAUUUCCAGUUUUAAUUCAUAUUCAGACCUAUUCUUAUUAGAUACCUAUAUGUUGACUUGACUUGUUUGCAUUUGCGCAGAAUUUCUUUAUGCAUUUGCUUGUAGACUUGAUGCAUUUGUGCCAAGUUUCUUUAUGCAUUUGCUUGAUAUACUUUCAAAUCAUAUUUUUCUGAAAUGCAAUAUAGUCGUUUAGUGCUUCCCUACUGUCCUGCCGUUGUGUGUGUGAGAAUUUCAAGAAUUAUGUAAGAUUUGUUAUGGAAAGACUGUUAAUUCCUGAGGAUUGUAGGACGACAACUAAGUAAGUUAUGUUGUUCAAAAAGGGAAUACUUGG